rnacentral:rRNA from 1 species
GUAGGUGGCAAGCGUUGUCCGGAAUUAUUGGGCGUAAAGCGCGCGCAGGUGGUUCGUUUAAGUCUGAUGUGAAAGACCCCCGGGCUCAACCCGGGGAGGGUCAUUGGAAACUGGGGAACUUGAGUGCAGGAGAGGAAAGUGGAAUUCCACGUGUAGCGGUGAAAUGCGUAGAUAUGUGGAGGAACACCAGUGGCGAAGGCGACUUUCUGGCCUGUAACUGACACUGAGGCGCGAAAGCGUGGGGCGCAAACAGGAUUAGAUACCCUGGUAGUCCACGCCGUAAACGAUGAGUGCUAAGUGUUGGGGGGUUUCCGCCCCUCAGUGCUGCAGCUAACGCAUUAAGCACUCCGCCUGGGGAGUACGGUCGCAAAGACUG